rnacentral:misc_RNA from 1 species
AUAGAAUCUUUUAACUUUGUAAUGACUGAAAGCUUCUGUCUGAAGACCUUGACUAGAUUUGAGAUAGAACUUCCCAAAUGAUUUAUUUAGCAAUAAUCAACACAACAUUGUGAUACCGUUUGCAUCGUUUAUCCUGUCCAUAAUUCUUCUGAACAGUGAAGCUUUCUUUUGUUCCUUGCUUGGAUCGUGUUCUUCUGCACAUUUGAAGUAGAGGUAAAAAUGUGGUGGAAAGAGUAAGUAUUGCCAUACAUGUACUUUUAUGAGCAUUGCUUCCUAUUCUACAGAGCUUCUCUCAUGUUUACAGGUAUUCUCGUUGUUUAGAUCUAUGAGAUCAAUAACUUUUAUUUGUAU